CACAGCCACCGCAUCAGCCAAUAAAGAGGCCAGGGCCACCAAAUCUGAUGACACUGGCUCUCCUGGUAGUGGGUUCGGUUGGGCGA
rnacentral:pre_miRNA from 2 species